GAUGAACGCUGGCGGCGUGCCUAAUACAUGCAAGUCGAGCGAACAGACGAGGAGCUUGCUCCUCUGACGUUAGCGGCGGACGGGUGAGUAACACGUGGAUAACCUACCUAUAAGACUUGGAUAACUUCGGGAAACCGGAGCUAAUACCGGAUAAUAUAUUGAACCGCAUGGUUCAAUAGUGAAAGACGGUUUUGCUGUCACUUAUAGAUGGAUCCGCGCCGCAUUAGCUAGUUGGUAAGGUAACGGCUUACCAAGGCAACGAUGCGUAGCCGACCUGAGAGGGUGAUCGGCCACACUGGAACAUAGACACGCUCCAGACUCCUAAGGGCGGCAGCAGUAGGGACUUUGCCGCAAUGGGAGAAAGCGUGACGGGGCAACGUGGCGAGAGUGAUGAAGGGCUUCCGAUCGUAAAACGCUGUUAUUAGGGAAGAACAAAUGUCUAAUGAACCACGCACGUAUUGACGGUACCUACUCAGAAAGCAACGGCUAACUACGUG
rnacentral:rRNA from 1 species